rnacentral:lncRNA from 1 species
GAUAUUUUAAGUACAGUAUAUAAUACAUACUUUGGGUACUUUGAUAUUUUAUGUACAGUAUAUAAUACAUACUUUGGGUACUUUGAUAUAUUAUGUACAGUAUAUAAUACACACUUUGGGUACUUUGAUAUUUUAUGUACAGUAUAUAAUACAUACUUUGGGUACUUUGAUAUUUUAUGUACAGUAUAUAAUACAUACUUUGGGUACUUUGAUAUUUUAUGUACAGUAUAUAAUACAUACUUUGGUUACUUUCAUAUUUUAUGUACAGUAUAUAAUAUGUACUUUGUGUACUUUGAUAUUUUUUCUACAGCAUAUAAUACAUACUUUGGGUACUUUGAUAUUUUAUGUACAGUAUAUAAUACACACUUUGGGUAUUUUGAUGUUUUAUGUACAGUAUAUAAUACAUAAUUUGUGUACUUUGAUAUAUUAUGUACUGUAUAUAAUACAUACUUUGGGUACUUUGAUAUUUUAUGUCCAGUAUAUAAUACAUACUUUGGAUACUUUGGUGCACAUUUGCAGCGCUUUGAGGCCUAUGGUGAAAAAGGAAAUAUCUUCUCAUAAAAAAGAGAAGCAAGCAUUCUCAGAAACUUCUUUUUGAUUUGUGUACUCAAGUAACAGAGUUGAACCUUCCUUUUGACAGAGCAGUUUUGAAACACUCUUUUGGUAGAAUCUGCAAGUGGAUAUCUGGAUAGCUUUGAGGAUUUCGUUGGAAACGGGUUAUCUUCAUAUAAAAUCCAGACAGGAGCAUUCUCAGAAACUUCUUUGUGCUGUAUGUCCUCAAUUCACAGAGCUGAACCUUUGUUUGGAUACAGCAUUUUGGAAACAUUCCUUUAGUAGAAUCUGCAAGUUGAUAUUUAGAUAGCGUUGAAGAUUUCGUUGGAAACGGGAAUAUCUUCAUAGAAAAUCUAGACGGAAGCAUUCUCAUAAACUGCUUUGUGAUGUUUGCAUUCAAGUCACAGAGUUGAAUAUUCCCUUUUAUAGAGUAGGUUGGAAACAUUCUUUCGGCACUACCUGGAAGUGGAUAUUUCGAGCUCUUUGAGGCCUAUGUUUAAAAGGAAAUAUCUUCCCAUAAAAACUAGACAGAAGCCGUCUCAGAAACUUGUUUGUGAUGUGUGUAUUCAACUAACAGAGUUGAACAUUUCUGUUACAGAGCAAUUUUAAACACUCUUUUUGUGGAAUCUGAAAGUGGAUAAUUGGAUAGCUUUGUGGAUUACGUUGGAAACGGGAUUACGUAUAAAAUCUAGAGAGAAGCAUUCUCAGGAACUUCUUUCUGAUGUUUGCAUUCAAGUCACAGAAUUGAACAUUCCUUUUCACAGUGCAGGUUUGAAACACUCUUUCUGUAGUAUCUGGAAGUGGACAUUUCAAGCGCUUUCAGGCCUAUGGGGAGAAAGGAAAUAUCUUCAAAUAAAAACUAGACAGAAGACUUCUCAGAAACUUAUUUGUGAUGUGUGCCCUAAAC